GGUUUGGAAAUAACAUGGUCAAUAAUUGUGAAAUUUGUGUAUGAUGUCAAUAUAUUAUUAGCCUUCGAUAUUACAUAAUAGUUUUUCGUCAAAAUGUUACACAUGUUUAGAAAAAACAAAAAUUAGAAAUAGUACGCCAACCUCGAAGAACACGUAUGCGAAACGUCAACUUUGGUUGCUAAUAUCUUAGAUCUUGAGUGGCCAAUCUUUCUCUAAUUGCUUAAGUAAUUAGAUAAGUUUUUACUAUGUAUGAAGUGCAAAUUUUACGUCAAAUUGUAAUAAAACUUAUUUUACGAUAUAACUACCUUCAUAUUUUCACUUGACGAAAUUUAUUCUGAAAGAUAUUCUGACGCUAUCAGAAUAGCAUGAAACCACUCAAAAUCAUCGUUUUAGCCCUUUUCUCUCAUUACAUUUCUUUUAAAAUUUUUAGUUAAAUUUAAACGACGGAUUCUUGUCCAGAAAAAUAUAUCAAAAAUGAUUAUUCGUAUUCUUGUUACAAGAAAAGGCUAAAAUCUAUCGGACAAUGUUUUUACAUAAAUUUAAUGCGCACAAGAAAUAUAAACAUAUGAUUCGCAAUAUUCACAUGUUACCGUAUAUUUUCAAUUUAUUCGUGAUAUUGUAUUUGAUAACAAAUACUUUUUUUGUAGAUUAUUAUUAUUUCACUUACUUGAAAACAUAUAUAUUUGAAAACAUAUAUCAACAUUUUAGUGUCCUUCGAGCUAUUGUCAAGUAUACAUCUAUACUUCACGGAAUUUUAUUACUUUGACUAAGGAACAGAAUUUCUUACAUUUUUAAAUUAUAUUACAAGUAUUCGCAAACGUUGCAUUUUGCAGUUACUCGAACAAAUUAAAAUAAAUAUGGAUUGUAUGACGAUAUAUACGAAAUUAGGGACACUCCAAUCUCUGGCGAGGAGAAUGAAAUGAUAAAAGAAGCCUUGAAUAUCCAUAUCUGGUGUAAUCAGGUCUACAUAAUAUCUUAUGUAUCAAAUAUCUCUUAGAAAAUUGAUUAAGAUGAAAUAUGCCCUAUUCGAAAGCAAAUAUGUGGAUUUCAGGGAUAAAGGAAAUACUUUUGUAAUUAGUCAAAAGAUAGCAAUCUAUUUGGGCAGAUAUUUUACGAGGUACAAAUGUCUGUAAGUAAUCAAUCGUGUUUUUACUGUUAUGAACGGUCUGAAUUGCUAACGUGCGAGAAAUGUUUUUCGAGAUCUUCGAUAUGAAUUCGUUUAUGUCUUGCAAAAGAAAUAUGUUAAGGAAUUUCCAAAGACAUAAGCUAAAGCUGAAGAUAUUCUUUGCUUUUUCUAAAUCAUUCGAGAUCAUUGCGAUGAUGAAGUAAGUUAAGCGAUUCCUAGUCAGACACAAUAAUUGUUGUAUGUUUCAUAACCCAUAUAGCACAAAUUUCUAAAAGACUUCUUAAAGAAUUCUAAAAGUGUUCUGGAGGACUUGAGAACUCUUUAAUAAAUCUUUUAGAGAUUUGUGUUUAAUAAGAAGUACACGUUUCAUAUGCAAUGUUUCACCAAAUGCAAAAAAUUUUGUAGUGUGUUGCAAUAUAGAUCUUAUAAGUAUGAGAUAUUUGCUUAUACAUCCAAAUAUGUAUUCAGGAAUUGCAUAUAUAACCAAUAACAUGAUUUUAUUUUACAAGAGUAAACUACCAAUUAAUAAAAUAGCUUCGAAUUCUUUGGUAUCAUCAAGCAAUGUAUUUAUUCCAAUCACAUCAGCAUCAUUAACUUUUUAUGAUGUGAUCAUAAGUACACAUUUCAUAUGCGACAACCUGCAAUAUAAAAAUCUAGUGUUCUUGCUCAAUAUAGAUCUUAUAAGUAUGAGAUUUGCCUAUAAAUCAGAAUGAGAAACGUCCAUGGAUUUGCAUCAAAUACGAUCCAUAAUAUGACUUUAUUUUAUAUGCGUGCCCAACCAAUUGAUAGGUUCUAAUAUUUAGCAUCGUCGAGCAAUGUAUUUAUUCCGACUACAUGUCAUCCGACCACUCAUCAUCAUCCACAUAAUUUUAUGAUGUAACAUAUAGAAGAAGGUAUCUUCUUUUAUAAAUAUUAACACUAUGAACAAUAUCUUCUAAUCGAAGACGUUGAUAUAUAUAUUAUUGAUACGACAUUGAGAAUACACAGCGCUUGCUAACUUGUAUAAUCGUUUCGUUAUGCUUUUAAGUAUGAUCUGACAAUUGUCAUAGGACCAAAUUUUCUCACUACAUUUUCUUAUCAUAAUCAUUUAUGUUCUGCGUGUAUAUGGAAAAUCUAUAAAUAUGAGUGUUGAAUUCCUUGUAUAUGAAAUGACAUAGUUGCAUAUACAUAGCACAAACUAGUAUGGACUUUGAAAAUAGAAAAUUCCAAGCAUCGAAUAUUAAGUCUAAAUUUUAGAAUUGAAUUGCUCAACAGUCGAUACUCAUUGUACAUACGAUCUUAUGCUAUACAUAUGUAAUUCUUUCACUUCUCGUGCGUUGGGCUUUACGUUAUGCAAUAUCACGUAACAAGCUGAAUUAUAGGAUUAUUACGUCGAGUUUUGCAUUGUAGAGAACUUGGACAGAAUUUUAAUAUUUUAUUUAUAAUAUUGACUGUUUCUUGCGUCCUGAUGUGGAAUCUAUAUUUAUGAAUUCUUGCCAAAUUCGAAAAGUUAGUUAUAACACAUGUAUUAUUUAUAAAUAUAAACUUGUAACUUUCAUAUAAUUUUCAAUAAACUCUUUGAUGACAAUAA